rnacentral:tRNA from 1 species
GCCUGGGUGGCUCAGCGGUUGAGCGGCUGCCUUCAGCUCAGGGUGGGAUCCCGAGAUGUGGGAUCAAGUCCCACAUCAGGCU